ensembl:lncRNA
AGGUAUACCUCAUCCACCUCUCUUAGCUAUACCCGAUCCACCCCUCUUAGUUACACCCCAUUGGUUUUCUCCAUUAUCACUUUUGAGGGACUAUAUAAAGAAGUAACACUAUAACGUAGAAAAUGUUCAAAACUGACCAUGUGCACACGCAUUAGAAAUUUUUUCAGGUUUGACUUGAUGUAAUGUUUUGACCAGGUCUUAAUUUAAUUUUUAAAAACAAAGGAGCAGCCCUGUGUAGUCUCCCAUGCUGGUUAUUUUUGCUGAAUGGAUGAAGGAUAAGACUUCAGUUUCGAUCAGAACCUGCUGUCAUUAUGUCCUUAUGGAUGCCAUGUUAACUUGUCAACCUGUCCAGUGGGAUGAUGGGUAUCUAAGAAGACCAAAGGGAAAGAAGAGUCAUAUGUUCAAACAUCUGACAGAGGAGACACCUGCAAAUGUGGAACAACCCAGCAGAGAAGCGCAGAAACCAACCACACCCAAAGCUCCCAAGAGCAAAGAGAAGGAAAAAGAGAAGGAAAAAGUAAAGGAAAAAGAGAAAGAAAAAGAGAAAGACAAACAUACAUCCAAGAGUUUGGAUGAGAGUAAGCCCCACUGGAUGCUGCGUGUGGUCAGUGAACAGUCAGAGGUGGAAAAGAUUGAGGUGGAAAAGGACACUGAGAGACUAGAGCAAAUUAAGGCAAUAAAACUGGCCUGGGAAGCUGCAGAGCCUGGCAGAGCAGCUAAGGCUUUUCAAACCCGUCAGCAGUACCUGAACAAUCUGAGGACGCUCGGAGAAGACUACACCCUGGACCUCACACCUUUCAUCAGGAGGACCGGCAGGCCAGAGCGUCUAAAGGAUGCAGUGAUGGAGGAGGAACAGCAGAGGGAGCGGUUGGAGAAGAUCCAGAGCUUUCGGCUGUACCGAGAGACCGUGCUGGAUCGCCGUAGGCAGGAGCAUGAGCAGACCAAGCAGCUGAUAAGGGAACAACGAGAGCUGUUUAUAAGAAUUCAGGAGGAGAAAGCUGAGCUGCUCCGGAAGUUCGAUCAGACUCGAGCGAUUAUUCGAAGGUGGAGGAGCAGUCUCGAAAGAAAGGAGAAGAGUCUCCGAAAAUAGAAGGAGUUUCUACUUAUUGAACCUUUAAAGUGUAAAACACUGAUAAGAACACAAUACAUACAGUGCAUCCGGAAAGUAUUCACAGCACUUCACUUUUGUUAUGUUACAGCCUUAUUCCAAAAUGGAUUCAAUUCAUUAUUUUCCUCAAAAUUCUACAAACAAUACCCCAUAAUGACAAUGUGAAAGAAGUUCGUUUGAAAUCUUUGCAAAUUUAUUAAAAAUAAAAAACAAAAAAAGCACAUGUACAUAAGUAUUCACAGCCUUUGUUCAAUACUUUGUUGAAGCACCUUUGGCACUAAUUACAGCCUCAAGUCUUUUUGAGUAUGAUACUACAAGCUUGGCACACCUAUUUUUG